GGGCCGUUAGCUCAGAUGGUAGAGCAGCUGACUCUUAAUCAGCGGGUCGAAGGUUCGAGUCCUUCACGGCCCACCA
rnacentral:tRNA from 1 species